rnacentral:pre_miRNA from 1 species
UGGAACAUGUACGUAAGGGCUGCGUUUCCAGCUAUUACUUAUAUGUUGCA